rnacentral:lncRNA from 1 species
UAAUAACAUAAAAUAAUGUAUAUACGUAAAAAUGUAAAUAAACAUAUAAACUAGUAUAAUAAUAUUAGUGAUAUUAACAAUGGUAAUAAUAAUAAAUUAAUUAAUGAACUUAUUUAAAAAGAAAAUAACAAAAGUAUUAAAUUAAACUAAGAAAAAAUAAAAAUAAAGUAAAACAAAAAGGGGGGUCAAAUGCAAUUAAAAUAAAAUUAAAGAACCACAAACAGAAUUAAAAUAAAUAAAAAAAGGACAAAAGUGAACGUGCGAAUGAUACGAGGGAUCAAAAGGGGAAAAAAUCCCAACAUCUCGAAACGCUGCGCUUAAGAGA